AAUAAAAUUUAAUAAUAAUGAAAUAAUUAAUAAAAUAAUAAUUAAAUAAUUAAUAAAAUAAUAAUGAUUAAAUAAUUAAUAAAAAAUAAAAAAUAAUUGAUAAAAUUUAAUAAUAAUUAAAUAAUUAAUAAAAUAAUAAUCAAAUAAUUAAUAUAAAUAAAUUUUAAUAAAAAUUAAAAUUAAUAAAAUAAAUAAUCAAUAAAAAAUUAAUUUUUUUAAUAAAAAUCACCCCGAAGUCAACCAAAAUUAAAAAAAAAAACAACCAAAAUUAGGAAAAAUCAACCAAAAUUAGGAAAAAUUAAUGUAAUUAAUAAAAAAACACACAGAAAUUGCCCGAAAUUAGCGAAAAGCAAUGAAAAUUAUGAAACAUCAACCAGAAAUAAUAAAAUUCACCUAAAUUAAGAAAAAUAAACGAGAAUUAAGAAGAAUCAGCCAUAAUUAUUAUAAAUGAACCAAAAUUAAGAAAAAUCAAUUAUAAUUAAUAAAAAUCACCCCAAAGUCAACCAAAAUUAAAAAAAAAAAAUCAACCAAAAUUUAAAAAAUCAACCAAAAUUAGGAAAUAUCAACCAUAAUUAAUAAGAAUCACCUCAAAAAUCAGCCAACAUUAAGAAAACUUAAACUUGCUCAAAUUCCCUCAAAAUUCACCCAAAUCCCCCCUUUCAGAAACUCCGCCCCCUUUUUGUUAAGCCCCGCCUCUUUUUCCUUAUAUGGCACAGCUGGAGCAGCUCUGUCUAAGCCACGCCCCUCCGGGCUCUAAGCCACGCCCCCUCCCUCGUUUGCAGCGUUAUUUUGCCGAGGUUCGCCACGCCCAACCAGUGCCUUCACCGCGCCCACUUCCGGCUAAGAAAACCACACCCCUGUAAGUUGCCACGCCCACAAGCCAUACCUCCUAAAUAUUUGCUAAUUAGGCUGCUAAUUAAUGUUUAUAAAUUCAUUAAUUCAGGAGAAAGCUCCGCCCACGUCGCCGUAGGCUCCGCCCCCUCCGCUUCUCUCCGUACCGUGAGUGGGGCAAACCAUUCUGAUGGGGUGGGGGGGGAGGGCCUGGAGAAGCCAAUGAGGUUUUUCGGCAGAUUUUGGCAGCCAAUCGCAGCGAGGCGCGACUAGGGAGGGUUAAGACGCCUGGCGUGACGUCAUCGAGAGUUUUAGCAGUUAAAUUUGAGGUUAAAAAAGGAAUUUUUGGGGUUUUUCUUCUGUGAAGCAAAAUAAGGCCGCCCGCGGAAGGCGGGCUGUAACGCAGUUGAUUGACAAUGCAUUCAACCAAUGAGGCGCGUUGAGAUGCCGAAAAUUUUUUUGUGAACUACAAACGCCGCCCUUUUUACUGUUGGCAAGGGGCGGGCAGAGCACUCUGAUUGGCUGAGAAACCGGAAGCGCUUCAGCCGCCAUUUUAGGUGCUGGCACUGCGGGUUUAGCGGGAGGGGCUUCGCUUCCGCUUCCGCUCGGCGGCUCCGAAGGCGCCGCAGCCGCCACGAUGCUCAUCAAAGU
rnacentral:lncRNA from 1 species